rnacentral:rRNA from 1 species
GACGAACGCUGGCGGCGUGCCUAAUACAUGCAAGUAGAACGCACAGUUUAUACCGUAGCUUGCUACACCAUAGACUGUGAGUUGCGAACGGGUGAGUAACGCGUAGGUAACCUGCCUGGUAGCGGGGGAUAACUAUUGGAAACGAUAGCUAAUACCGCAUAAUAUUAAUUAUUGCAUGAUAAUUAAUUGAAAGGUGCAAUUGCACCACUACCAGAUGGACCUGCGUUGUAUUAGCUAGUAGGUGAGGUAACGGCUCACCUAGGCGACGAUACAUAGCCGACCUGAGAGAGUGAUCGGCCACACUGGGACUGAGACGCGGCCCAGACUCCUACGGGAGGCAGCAGUAGGGAAUCUUCGGCAAGGGACGAAAGUCUGACCGAGCAACGCCGCGUGAGUGAAGAAGGGUUUCGGAUCGUAAAGCUCUGUUGUAAGAGAAGAACGGGUGUGAGAGUGGAAAGUUCACACUGUGACGGUAUCUUACCAGAAAGGGACGGCUAACUACGUG